rnacentral:misc_RNA from 1 species
UCGAGUUUAUUCAACUCCCAAACCCUAUGUGAACUUACCACUUGUUGCUUCGGCGGCGCUCUGGCGUCGCCGGGGGUAUCAAACUCUUGUUUUUACAGCAUUCUCUGAGUGGCCGCAAGGCAAAAAACAAAUGAAUCA